ACUCCUACGGGAGGCAGCAGUGGGGAAUAUUGCACAAUGGGCGCAAGCCUGAUGCAGCCAUGCCGCGUGUAUGAAGAAGGCCUUCGGGUUGUAAAGUACUUUCAGCAGUGAGGAAGGUGGGUAUGUUAAUAGCAUAUUCAUUUGACGUUAGCUGCAGAAGAAGCACCGGCUAACUCCGUGCCAGCAGCCGCGGUAAUACGGAGGGUGCGAGCGUUAAUCGGAAUUACUGGGCGUAAAGCGCAUGCAGGUGGUUUGUUAAGUCAGAUGUGAAAGCCCGGGGCUCAACCUCGGAAUUGCAUUUGAAACUGGCAAACUAGAGUACUGUAGAGGGGGGUAGAAUUUCAGGUGUAGCGGUGAAAUGCGUAGAGAUCUGAAGGAAUACCGGUGGCGAAGGCGGCCCCCUGGACAGAUACUGACACUCAGAUGCGAAAGCUGGGGAGCAAACAGGAUUAGAUCCCCCGGUAGGCUCUGC
rnacentral:rRNA from 1 species